UCGCCAUCUUAUAAUCUGUAUGCUAUAAUCUGUUAGCGAAGGGGUGGUUCUUGAGCAUAUAUCAUGAAGAUAGAUUACAGGAAGAUAGAUUACAGCCUGUCUAAUUCUAUCAUUACAGGAAGUAAGUGCAUGUCUAAUAAACAGCCUGUCUAAUAAACAGGAAGCUCUACUGCCUCUCGUUUCUCUCUAUGAUUUUUCUCCCUCUAUCUAUCAUUACAGGAAGUAAGUGCAUGUCUAAUUCUCAAUUCAAAUGUUGUUUGUCAAGUGUAAACAUCCAACUGAAGAAAAUAGAUCCAAAUUUCACGCUCCAUUUGUGUAGACGGUAUAAGCAGGGAGUUGCAUUUAAUUUUUUUCAAAGUAUACGACAAUUUGUCUAGAAGGUAUAAGCAGGGCAUUUAAUUUUUUCAAGCUUUCACUGUAGUCCAUGUUGGAAUUGAUCAGCGGCAACUGAUUGAUGUUUUCAAAACUGAUUGAUGUUAAUGGUUGUGCUGACAUAACAUUGAGUUUGAUGAAUAUAUGUUAGUUUCUCGGGUUUUAAACUGAAGGGAGAAGUUAUAUCAUCUGGAACUCCCUUUUAAUCAUAUAUAGCUGCUAAUUGUAUGUAAAAGAGCAUUGCAUAUGAGGCAUGUUUAUUUUAGCUUCUUGUUUACAACAAGGUCUGCAAGUGGGUCUGUUUGGCUUUUAAUUUCUUAACCGACAAUUGUUUCGAUUAUAAAAAAGAUCGUCACCUGUUGUCUUUGCUCUUGAAAUUGAAUGUAGUUUUGAGCGUUAACUGGCGUGUCUUGUUUUGCGCUUGCAGCAGAGAACAAUGAGAGCGUCUUUGAACUUUGAAGGGGUUACUGGCUUGCUACCGACAAGGGUUAGUAUUCAACUCGGUGCAUCAGUCUUUGAGAAAGACCAUUUGUGUGUUUGGUAUAUUGUGUAUGAGAGGAAUUUGUGCCUUGACAUCAUGGAUAACACGCCACAAUGCCUACUCUUCAAAGCCUGCCUUCUGUUUGUAUGGCAAUGUAAGCCAGCCUCGAUUAUUUGAAUUUGGAAUUGAAUGUAGCACUCGUAAACUUAUAUGCUUGGGUCUGCAAUUCUAUCCUUUGCUUGCAUUCUGUAUAUAUUUCUAAAUGCACGUUGAUAUCUCAAUUUCGUUCAGGGGUGAGUAUGAUGGCUUACCUUUUCUUUUCGUUUAUUUCCCUUGUUAUGUAAUGCUUAGAAGAACAUAUAUUGUUAUUAAUAUAAUCGAAAAACUUGGUAUGUAA